rnacentral:tRNA from 1 species
UCUCUGGUGGUCUAGUGUUUAGGACUUGGUUCUUUCACUGCUAUAGCCUGGGUUUGAUCCCUGGUCUGGGAA